rnacentral:rRNA from 1 species
UACGGGGGGAGCAAGCGUUGUUCGGAUUUACUGGGCGUAAAGCGCACGCAGGCGGGUGGGCGCGUGGGGUGUGAAAUCUGGCCGCUUAACGGCCAGGCGCCAUCCCAUACGGCGCGCCUGGAGCCUUGCAGAGGUCGGUGGAAUUGCCGGUGUAGUGGUGAAAUGCGUAGAUAUCAGGAGGAACACCGGUGGCGAAGGCGCUCAUCUGGCCCAAUACUGACGCUGAGGCGCGAAAGCUAGGGGAGCAAACGGG